GUAGGUGGCAAGCGUUGUCCGGAAUUAUUGGGCGUAAAGCGCGCGCAGGCGGUCCUUUAAGUCUGAUGUGAAAGCCCACGGCUCAACCGUGGAGGGUCAUUGGAAACUGGGGGACUUGAGUACAGAAGAGGAAAGCGGAAUUCCAAGUGUAGCGGUGAAAUGCGUAGAGAUUUGGAGGAACACCAGUGGCGAAGGCGGCUUCCUGGUCUGUAACUGACGCUGAGGCGCGAAAGCGUGGGGAGCAAACAGGAUUAGAUACCCUGGUAGUCCACGCCGUAAACGAUGAGUGCUAAGUGUUAGGGGGUUUCCCGCCCCCUUAGUGCUGCAGCUAACGCAUUAAGCACUCCGCCUGGGGGAGUACGGCCCGCAAGGCUG
rnacentral:rRNA from 1 species